AGAGUUUGAUCAUGGCUCAGAUUGAACGCUGGCGGUAUGCUUAACACAUGCAAGUCGAACGGUAACAGCAGAGCUUGCUCUGGCUGACGAGUGGCGGACGGGUGCGUAACGCGUGGGAAUUUACCUUUUAGCGGGGGAUAGCCCGGUGAAAACCGGAUUAAUACCGCAUACUACUCUACGGAGGAAAAGGGGCCUCUCCUUGGAAGCUCUUGCUAUUAGAUGAGCCCGCGUAAGAUUAGCUAGUUGGUGAGGUAAUGGCUCACCAAGGCAACGAUCUUUAGCUGGUUUGAGAGGAUGAUCAGCCACACUGGGACUGAGACACGGCCCAGACUCCUACGGGAGGCAGCAGUGGGGAAUAUUGGACAAUGGGCGAAAGCCUGAUCCAGCAAUACCGCGUGUGUGAAGAAGGCCUGAGGGUUGUAAAGCACUUUCAAUUGUGAAGAAAAGCUCAUAAUUAAUAUUUAUGGGUGGGGACG
rnacentral:rRNA from 1 species